CUGGCAGUCCAGAGGGGGGAGUCAUACUCCCUGGUGGGCACGUUGUGUUGGGCAAUUGUGGGUAUAAUAAACAUUGCUAAAUUGUAUUUCUCUAAACCGUAGCAUGUUUCUUUAAUGAAUAACCUCUUACCCAAUUCAGUGCAUAAUAUGCUUACGCCAUCUUGUCCUAGAAUGAUACAACAACAAUUCAAGGCCUUGUCUAAGACAAC